CGCCCGCAAUCCCCAAUCCCGCCGCGACCGAUUCGCCUCCUCCCCUCCACCUUCUUCCUCGCGCGGAUGGUCGACGAUGCUGCUCAGCCUCCACCUCCGGCUUCCACUGCUCCUCUCGUCAUCCUCCCCAAUCCUCCCUCGCCAUGGAGCUCGGUCUCAGACGAGCGCGAGAGGAGGUCGCCGCUGCUGUGCACAACGAGGAGGCGCACAUCGACGGGCGCGGGGAGGGAGCCACCAGGCCGUCGUCGACCGCCUCGUGCUCCCAACACCGUCAGCCAGCGCGUCUCCGGCGAGCGGAGGAGGCCGCCGUCAGCAAUCAUGAGGAGGAGGUGCGCAUCGACGUGCGGGGGAGGUCGGGCUAGGCCGUUGACGAACGCACGGAGGGAGUGCUCCGCGAGUGCGCCUCCGUCGCUGCUGUGUUGCUCCUUCCUCCCCAUGGCCUCCUCGUUCUCCUCCACGCUGCCUCCGUCCCCAGCCUCCUCUACAUGGACUUGAGCCUCCAUAUCCUGUUGCCUCUGCCCCGCCUUCUCUACACAACCUUGCAGAUGCUGAGAUGGGACGGUGCCAACAACCUCGACCCUGGGGGCUGCUCCUCUCCAUCCCCGAGCUCAAGAGGACAAGCACAACGGAGGUGGAUGCCGUUAGCAGGUUCAUCUUCCUGCUGGGAACCUUCACCUCCUCAUUGCAAUUGAAGCCCAUCCCACUGCUCUGGCACCCUAAUUUCUCAUUUUCCCUUCUCCCUCAAAUCCAGCAGCAAGGGACCAGCUCAUGUCAGCAUGAUUUGACGUUUCUCAUUAACCCGUUUCUAUUGCUGGAGUGGAUCGACAAACAGUGAUAGUUUUGAACACUGACAACAAUCAUAAGUUGGUAGAUCAAGAAGUGCAUGGCCAUGCUGCAGUGUAUACAGCUCAAUCCCGAGGAGAAAGAGCUGCAUCAAAGCACAACGCCAGCCCAUGGAAGACAGAGUGGCAGCAAUGCAGAGAUCCAUCUUUUGUCAGGCCAAAUACAUAGAAAUACUGACAGCAGGUUGAACCUCCAGUAACUGUUCCUCAAGACGCCAUCGUGAAACCUGCUGGAGCUCACACUAUAUCGACUAUACAAUGCCCUCCUCAAUAUUCAUGUGAUCUGAUACAUGUGAUCAUCAUCUCGUGUAGCAACAACAAAGGUCUAUGUAAUUCAUCUAUGCAUCUCCUCAGUAUUUCUUGCAUGGUUCUACCUACAUGACCACUAAAAGCUCAUUCUGUAUUUUGGUUACUGUAAUUAGCUUACUUCUUAGAUAUUUAAUUUAAAUUUCUUAUCAUCCACAUAGUGUAUACUAAUUAAUGUUUUCCUUUCAUGUUGGAUACUCAGAAUGGCAUGGGAAGCAUCAAUGUUCCCUCAUGGAAGCCAUACGCAUGCUGCAGCCAUGUUUUUUGUAUUCUACCUUGCACUUAUGGUGAAAUUUGGUAAGCUUAUGCGGUUGUUUGUUGAUCUGGCUCAGAUGGAUUAUCAUGUGAUUUUUAUUUUUUCUUCACUCACCACCACGGAUUAUAUAAAAGGUUCUAUGCCAUGGAAUCACAGUUUCACUUAAUGAUGCUCUCAGGGCAUUAAAACAGUACAUUACAUUCAUUUCUUCUUAUAGUGCUAGCAAUCUGCAUUGCAAAUUAAGAGUUUCAGACAAUACUAUGAUGGAUGAGAAGCAGGACAAAUUAAUCCCCCUACAAGGUUAAAUAUGUGCUUCCUUCCAAAGUUCCUCUUUGAAAAUGAUUAAUCUUAAUCAUCUUAUUUAUUUUUAUUUUGGUCAUUUGUUUUGUUCUCAGAUUUAUAAAUGUUUUCCCCUUCUUUGUAGUUAAGCUCAAGCUUGAUUGUUUUAUUACCAUGCCAAUCCAUUCCUGUGUUUUUUUGGGUGUUCACUCACACGCCCACAGUGGUUUUUUUAUCCAUUAGUUUGAUGUUGUUAAGCUCAAGUGCUUAGUGUUUGCUUUGCCGCUAGCACUAGGAGAGAUGAAUGGUGGCAAGGGAUAGCAGCAGUAGGUCAGCUUGGUCUAGGAUUAAUAGUGUCGGCGGAGAUGUUUUUUGGCUCAAGAAGUCGAUGAAUGUUCCGGCUGGAUUAUCCGCUAUGUACUCUAUGUCUGCUUCCAGCUGGGUUUAGUACGUUUGUUCAAAACAUCCACCGUAUCCAGCUUUGUGCGACUCCCAUGGCUAAAGAGGAAGAAAUCACUGUUACAAAUCUAUAUUUGGGUACAAUUUGAUUGUGGGAUAUUAUGAAUAUCACAGAUUAUCCUUACAUUAACUACUGAUCCUAUAUUGGCCAUUCAACGCUUCACUCCAGAGGCCCCGCAAUUCCCAGUGUUCUUGAGAGAUCCAACAGUGCUGACUUUUAUAUUGUGACCCGGGCACACUUUAUUUAUAGAGAUAAAAAGAUAUUGGUUUGCUGCAAAGAGUACUUACUUGAACACAGAUGGAAACAAAGGUGCAUGGUCUCAUAAAGAGGGCAUGUUCAUGUGCAAGGUAAGAUCUGAAUUGAUUCGGGCUGAUGAAUAUUCAAAUUAAUUUCACGGUUAUUAGAGAAGUGCCGCAGUUGAGAAGCCAAGGAAGAAUAUAUCACAUAACCAAAUUUGAAAUUGGAUUAUCAUUCUCUUAGUGCAUCCUAUUUAUCAUGAUAUCAAUUCAUUCAGCAUAAACAUGUUUCGUGAUGUAGAAAAAGUAUCCAAUGUCAAUCAGCUUUGCAGUAUGAAAGUCAUUGUUUCCUGUAUAUGAGUUUGGCUUAUUGUGGCUAUAUUUAAUUAACACGUAGUAUUCAACUUGAAUCGUUACUGUUUGCCAAAAUUGUCCUUUUCCUGGUAAAAUCAUGGGUAUCCCGUCAAGAUCACUACUAAACUAAAUCGUCUCUUUGGUUUCUAGACUUAAACUAGAAUAAUCUAUAGGUCAUAAAACUUACAUUAUCUGAGGUACUAAUUUUUCCACUUAAUCAAUUGCAGAACCGUAAACGAGGUUUGGUUUGAAUACUGACAGAUGUCUCGAGCAAUUCUUAUGCUACGGAUUAUGAUGUUAAUUCUCUAAUUGCAUUGUGCAUGUAAUAUAUACCCUUAUUUAGUCAUCUAUAUUAAUCCCCACUUUUAUCCUUUUCUUCAAUUCCUAUAUAUGGUGUAGAUAUGCAUGAAUAUUUGAUAAUCUUCGUGCUCCUGGCAGUAUCCA